rnacentral:tRNA from 1 species
GCGGGCGUAGCUCAGUGGCAGAGCAUCUGCUUCCCAAGCAGAGGGCCGCGGGUUCGACUCCCGUCGCCCGCUCCA